rnacentral:rRNA from 1 species
GAUCAUGGCUCAGGAUGAACGCUAGCUACAGGCUUAACACAUGCAAGUCGAGGGGCAGCAUGAAGUCAGCUUGCUGACUUGAUGGCGACCGGCGCACGGGUGAGUAACGCGUAUCCAACCUUCCCCUUAGUAGGGCAUAGCCCGUAGAAAUGCGGAUUAAUACCCUAUGUUAUUCGUCGAUGACAUCUGAAGUGAAUCAAAGGUUUACCGCUAAGGGAUGGGGAUGCGUCUGAUUAGGCAGCAGGCGGGGUAACGGCCCACCUGGCCGACGAUCAGUAGGGUUCUGAGAGGAAGGUCCCCCACAUUGGAACUGAGACACGGUCCAAACUCCUACGGGAGGCAGCAGUGAGGAAUAUUGGUCAAUGGUCGAGAGACUGAACCAGCCAAGUAGCGUGCAGGACGACGGCCCUAUGGGUUGUAAACUGCUUUUAUGCGGGGAUAAAGUGCGGCACGUGUGCCGUUUUGUAGGUACCGCAUGAAUAAGGACCGGCUAAUUCCGUGCCAGCAGCCGC